GACGAACGCUGGCGGCGCGCUUAACACAUGCAAGUCGAACGGAAAGGCCUGCUUUCCCUUGUGGAUUGCGGGUACUCGAGUGGCGAACGGGUGAGUAACACGUGAGUGAUCUGCCCCCAACUUGGGUAUAAGCCUGGGAAACUGGGUCUAAUUCCCGAUAGGACUGCAGGGUGGUGCCUGUGGUGGAAAACGAUUUUCUAGUGGUUGGGGAUGAGCUCGCGGCCUAUCAGCUUGUUGGUGGGGUAAUGGCCUACCAAGGCGGCGACGGGUAGCCGGCCUGAGAGGGUGGACGGCCACAUUGGGACUGAGAUACGGCCCAGACUCCCACGGGAGGCAGCAGUGGGGAAUAUUACACAAUGGGCGGAAGCCUGAUGCAGCGACGCCGCGUGGGGGAUGACGGCCUUCGGGUUGUAAACUCCUUUCGACCGCGAGGAAGCCACCUGGUUGGAAGGGUGGUGACGGUAGUGGUAGAAGAAGCACCGGCUAACUACGUG
rnacentral:rRNA from 1 species